CCAACGGCCCUCUUUAGGGCCACCUUACUUUUGGCUGUUAUAUUUCU
rfam:Hymenolepis diminuta genome assembly, scaffold: HDID_contig0000425